rnacentral:rRNA from 1 species
CCUACGGGUGGCAGCAGUGGGGGAUAUUGCACAAUGGGGGGAACCCUGAUGCAGCGACGCCGCGUGGGUGAAGAAGCGCCUCGGCGCGUAAAGCCCUGUCAGCAGGGAAGAAAAUGACGGUACCUGAAGAAGAAGCCCCGGCUAACUACGUGCCAGCAGCCGCGGUAAUACGUAGGGGGCAAGCGUUAUCCGGAUUUACUGGGUGUAAAGGGGGCGCAGACGGCGAUGCAAGCCAGGAGUGAAAGCCCGGGGCCCAACCCCGGGACUGCUCUUGGAACUGCGUGGCUGGAGUGUGUGAGAGGAUAGUGGAAUUCCAGGUGUAGGAGUGAAAUCCGUAGAUAUCUGGAGGAACAUCAGUGGCGAAGGCGACUAUCUGGCACAUAACUGACGCUGAGGAGCGAAAGCGUGGGUAGCAAACAGGAUUAGAUACCCUUGUAGUC